UACGUAGGGGGCAAGCGUUGUCCGGAUUUAUUGGGCGUAAAGAGCGUGUAGGCGGCCAGACAGGUCCGUUGUGAAACUCGAGGCUCAACCUCGAGACGUCGACGGAAACCGUCUGGCUAGAGUCCGGAAGAGGAGUGUGGAAUUCCGUGGUGUAGCGGUGAAAUGCGCAGAUAUCAGGAAGAACACCUAUGGCGAAGGCAGCACUCUGGGACGGUACUGACGCUGAGACGCGAAAGCGUGGGGAGCGAACAGG
rnacentral:rRNA from 1 species